GCGUGGGGAGCACUGCCCUGUGGACAGCCCUGGCUCCCUGAGCAGGAGAUGCUGGGCAGAGAGGCUGGGAGAGGGUCCUGGGGAGCCCCUGGUCCUGGGAAGCCUGCUAGGCCUCAGCUGAGGGCUCCAUGGUUUUCAGCACCUGGACUCCUUCCCGCAGGUGCCCUGAUGCAGCCUGAGAUUUGUGGCAGACGUGUUCCCCUUCCCUGGGCAUUCAAGUUGCUUUCUACUGGGGCCCUUGUAAGCAGAGGUGCAAGGAACCCGUGGUCCAGUCUGUCUGUGGGCAUCUCCGAUUAUCUUGUUUUACCUCCCCAGAGGCACAACUAGUGGGUGAAAGCCAUGUACACUUUUCAUGGCCUUAAUAUCCAUGACAGAAGGGUGCUCCAGAGAAGUGGUGCUGUGUACCUUCCUCCAUCAGGGUGUGGAGUGUUAAGGUGUGUAAACAAGCCAGGAUGGCGCCUGGCAUUUUGCCAGAGGGAGUGGUUUGUGAAGUAAUGCCAGGGAGCCAUUAAGUGUGGAGAUUCCUUAUUGGUUGACUGCUGUAUCUAGUUUAUGUGAAUUAGAUAAGCUGUGUGGAAUGUAUAUAUACCCCUCCUGUCCUACAAUAAAUGGCUCCCACUCCUGCUGUAUCAAUCUGCACAAGUUGUUCAUCACCCCCCCCCGGUUAUUUUGCCCAGCCAGCCGGGCUGCGGCAGUGGAGAAGUGCUGGUCUCACUGCAUCUGCACCUCCUGGACUUUAGCACAUGGUCCGAGUCCUCACCAGGUGGACACGCACGAGGUGCUUUUGAAUUCCCACACCAGAGGCAAUGUCCCAGGGGCUUGACUGGUGGGGAACAGAAGAGUUCCUCUCCUUUUCCUGGGUUUCCAUGUGGCCCAUAGACCUGUUUCCCCACAACGUCACCUUGGUGAUGGCACAGGCAUGGAGUGCGUGGACCUCUACUGUGUGGACCCGUGCGCACAGCUCUGUUCUGGAGGUUAUGUCGUAGUAGAUUUUUAAGGAGCUGUAAAAUGUGCAUAGCCCUCCAUCCCGACCCUUCCUGCAUCCUUUGUGAAUCUUGUUCUGAAUCUUGUACUUGUCCUUCCAGGUCCGACCUGUCUUGUCCUCCUGCCUGAGCGCCUCGGUGGUGUUCAGUGUUUGGGAUGAAUUUCCACUAGCCAUUUGCUUGCAAAUUGAAUGAAAGACACCUUCUGGCCUGUGAAUUUCAGCUCAAGACAGAGUGAUGAAGUACCCACUGAAAAUCCAGGCUAGCACUUUUAAUCCAAACCAGUGCAUGCAGAGACGGCCAAGUGCCUGCAGGAGGCGCUGUCCCCCAGGUCCCGUUCCUCCCUCCCACAUGGACAGCCAGGCUCCUCACAUCCCUGUCUUGCCAAGUCACAGCCUCCUCCUGCCAGGAGGGACAGAAACAUAGCCUGAUCCCCGGUCCUUUGGCCUCCUGUGCAGAACAUCCUCCAGGAUGCAGAGAGAUGUAGGGAGAGUUCCACCUGGAGUCUGUCUGCUCUGUGAACCUCGGAAGUGGGCAGUAGGAUGAAUGUGACUGGUGUCGCCUGACUUUGACUUAACCAACGUAAUGGAGCCCAAAAUACAAAAAUACACGGGCACCGAGGCAGCGAGCAUCUGAGCCCUUAGGGAGGAGAGAGACGGACAGUGGAAACUAUAUAUGGCAGAAUGAGCUGCCUGGUGUUUGGGGGCCUGCAGGGUUCAGCCCAUUAGGCCUCUGAGGCACCUGUCCUCUGGCCAGGGUGCUCCUUGGGAGUCUCCACAGCUCCCUGCCCAGCAUGUGGGCUGUGAGGACAGUGGCUGGGCCUGGAGAGUUUUCGUGUUCACUCAUGGAUUUCCUCCAGACAGAGCCCCGGAGUCACGACUGAGGCUUCUUCCAUGUGCAUCAGCUUAGCCCAUCUCUGUAGAGAUUUCAUGAUGUGAUAAGCAGUGAGCUCAGACCUCUGGACUUCUGACCACUUUGUCACUCCGUAUUAAGUUCGUAGGCUCACACUCGAGGUUCUUAGGUGAAACACCUCUCCUGGGUGAGGGAAUUUGCCCUUCACGUUCCCUCUCACCUCUCAGAUUUGUCCUCAAACACCAGAGUUCUCUUCACAGGUGGCUUUGGGCAGGCCUGGGCUCUGGCUGGCGUGUCUGGCGUGGUCUUGGAGGUGGGCAGGCAAGCAGUGCUUCCCCGUGUCAGGCCUGGCCCGGCCUGGUGCUCUGCAGGCCUGGUAGGGGCCCGCUGAGCCUGCGGCACCUCCUCACACCACCCUUGCUUUCCACAGCCCACUCCCCUCAAGCCGCGGGCCCCGCGUCUGCCUUGGACCAGAGUAGGCUGCAGGCCUGGGGCAGAUACAGUGCCAACCUGAUCUGAAGGCUCUGAGCUCCAUGGCCACCAGGUGGGAGUGCUGGACUGCAGAGAGCCUCUGCAGCAGACCCUGGGGUGACUGAAGGGGCGCUUGUGACCUCAGGAGUGAGAAGCUCCUCAGAGCCAAGCGCAGUGUCCCUGAGGAUGUGCCUCAGUGGUUUCCUGAUGCCAGAGGGUGCCAUAGCUCCCCAGGUGGCCUCUCUGGGAUGCUAGUGAGCACGGCCCUUUGCCUUUGUCCCUUGCUCUUGGGAGCCCUGGGUUCCACCCACAGGGGGCAGAGCACUAGGGGAGGGCAGGGCAGCAUGGCCAGCACUCUGCACAGGCUGCCAGCAGGCCUUCCGGGGAGGAGCACUCAUGUGAAGCUCGACAGGCAGAGAGGUCUGGGCUGACCGCAGUCCAGGCAGGGGAAGCAGGAAGGACCAAGGCCGUGGUGGGGGUCUUCCCAACACGCUCAGCGAGUAGUGAAAUGUUUGGUAGCCGAUGAGAUCAGAGUGACCAUAUCAUGCAGGGUCAUGGAGGUCAAGGUGAAAUGUUCACCUUUCCUCUGAAUGAGGAGAGGAGUGAUGUGGCAUGACCCAGGCUUUGCCAGAAUAUCUGUGGCCCCGCGUUGAGGGCAGCCUGCAGGGCAGGGUGGAAGCAGACACCAGUAGUGUCUGAAGGGGCGCAGUUAGGCCCGAGGUAACUAGGGCACACCACCACAAUGGCAGUGGCCGGGCAGAAGCCCAGGGCUCCCAGGGCUCCGUGCACAGUGUGGUGACGUCGGAGGGGCUGCUUCAGACCAGAGCCCGGGCGCACCUGGGCCCAUCUACAGAAGCCCCCAGGGACAGUGCGAGGGGAGGGAGGGCCAGCGCUGGCUCCACCUUCGUGGCCUGAGCCACUGGGAACCUGGAGUGGCUGCAGGGUGAGCUGGCGCUGGGGACUGCAGGCAGGUACCACGGGGAGAGGGCUCCAGAGCCGGGCCAGCGGGUUGCUGAGCAGGCGGAGAGGAGGCCUGGGGCGCCCCUCUGAGGAACCCAGGGGCCACGACCCACCCUGCUGCCUCCUGGGGCCACGUGAGGGAACCGGUUUCUAAGGAGAUCUGCAGGGCUAGGGUGUGGCUAGGGUGCGGGGCACUGUUAGGUGUCCCUGGGUCCCUGGGCUCUGUGCCCAGCACUGGGGCCCAAUGUGGACUCCUGGAGGCUCUGGGCCUGAGGUGUGGGGCUGGAGGGGGGCCCCCUGCACUGGCGGAGUCUGAGCCACGUGGCCAGCCCCUGAGGGCAGGCAUCGUCUCUGUGGCCCCCUUGGACUCGGGCAACAGGCGCAUGCCCCACUUCCAGGGCACGUCUGCAGUUCCGGGGACGGGGACGGACCCCAGUGUGGAGACUUUGAAGCCUCUUUCAGUGCAGCUCUUUCUGAUUUCUUCAAGCACCCACCUUGUCCAGGGUCCUGCACCCGGGCCUGGAAAGCCACAACAAGCAGGACCUGUUUCCUGAAGCCCCCCUCGCGCUGCGCUCCCUGCGGGAACCUGGGAGCCUCACAGAAGAGGCAGCGACCCCAAACGACCUUCUGAGAACACUUUCCUUUUUUCUUAAAUAAUUCUUGAGAGGGAGGCAGAAGCAGGAAUUUUAAAACAUAGGUAUUUUCAGAAGAGAAAAGGAUUGAAAUAUUAGGCGUUUCAAGUAGUAACAUGCAAAUCACUUUAAAAAUGUCACAGAAAGCUAUCCUUUUCAUGCUAAAUAUGAAGUAUUUGGGGAGACACAGCCAGGCUCCUUCCACAAACUUCCUUCUGAGUCACAGCACCCAGAAGAAACGUCACGUGACUUCUUUCUCUUCAGCCAAAUGAGAAAAGAGUUUAAAUAAAUGAGUAUUAAGAGCA